rnacentral:rRNA from 1 species
UACGUAGGGGCCAAGCGUUGUCCGGAUUUAUUGGGCGUAAAGAGCUCGUAGGUGGUUCGGCAAGUCAGUUGUGAAAUCUCCGCGCUCAACGCGGAGGGGUCAGCUGAAACUGCUGUGACUUGAGUCUGGUAGGGGAGUGUGGAAUUCCCGGUGUAGCGGUGAAAUGCGCAGAUAUCGGGAGGAACACCAGUAGCGAAGGCAGCUCGCUGGGACGUAACUGACGCUGAGACGCGAAAGCGUGGGGAGCAAACAGG